rnacentral:rRNA from 1 species
GACGAACGCUGGCGGCGUGCCUAACACAUGCAAGUCGAGCGAAUGAAGUUCCUUCGGGAACGGAUUUAGCGGCGGACGGGUGAGUAACACGUGGGCAACCUGCCUCAUAGAGGGGAAUAGCCUUCCGAAAGGGAGAUUAAUACCGCAUAAGAUUGUAGUACCGCAUGGUACAGCAAUUAAAGGAGUAAUCCGCUAUGAGAUGGGCCCGCGGCGCAUUAGCUAGUUGGUGAGGUAACGGCUCACCAAGGCGACGAUGCGUAGCCGACCUGAGAGGGUGAUCGGCCACAUUGGGACUGAGACACGGCCCAGACUCCUACGGGAGGCAGCAGUGGGGAAUAUUGCACAAUGGGGGAAACCCUGAUGCAGCAACGCCGCGUGAGUGAUGACGGCCUUCGGGUUGUAAAGCUCUGUCUUCAGGGACGAUAAUGACGGUACCUGAGGAGGAAGCCACGGCUAACUACGUGCCAGCCGCCGCGGUAA